UACGAAGGGGGCUAGCGUUGUUCGGAAUUACUGGGCGUAAAGCGUGCGCAGGCGGUUCGCUAAGACAGAUGUGAAAUCCCCGGGCUUAACCUGGGAACUGCAUUUGUGACUGGCGGGCUAGAGUAUGGCAGAGGGGAGUAGAAUUCCACGUGUAGCAGUGAAAUGCGUAGAGAUGUGGAGGAAUACCGAUGGCGAAGGCAGCCCCCUGGGCCAAUACUGACGCUCAUGCACGAAAGCGUGGGGAGCAAACAGG
rnacentral:rRNA from 1 species